rnacentral:piRNA from 1 species
UGGCAAACCAGGUACUGUUCAGCUUGAUGC